rnacentral:rRNA from 1 species
GACGGACGCUGGCGGCGUGCUUAACACAUGCAAGUCGAACGGAAAGGCCCCAGCUUGCUGGGGUACUCGAGUGGCGAGCGGGUGAGUAACACGGGGGUGAUCUGCCCUGCACUGGGGGAUAAGCGUGGGAAAGUGGGUCUAAUACCGGAGAGGACCGUGCUUUAGGGUGUGGGGGGGAAAGUUUUUCGGUGAAGGGUGAGCCCGCCGCCUAUCCGCGUGUUGGUGGGGUAAUGGCCUACCAAGGCCGCGACGGGGAGCCGGUCUGAGAGGGUGUACGGACACAUGGGGAGUGAGACAGGGCACAGACCCAUAGGGGGGGGAGCAGUGGGGAAUAUUGCAAUAGGGGCGCAAGCCAGAUGCAGCGACGCCGCGUGGGGGAUGAGGGCCCUCGGGGUGUACACCCCUCUGCGAAGGGAAGGAGUUUUUGUGACGGUACCUGCAGAAGAAGCACCGGCUAACUACGUG